rnacentral:rRNA from 1 species
GUGGGGAAUAUUGCACAAUGGGCGAAAGCCUGAUGCAGCAACGCCGCGUGAGCGAUGAAGGCCUUUGGGUCGUAAAGCUCUGUCCUAGGGGACGAACACAAUGACGGUACCCUUGGAGGAAGCCCCGGCUAACUACGUGCCAGCAGCCGCGGUAAUACGUAGGGGGCGAGCGUUAUCCGGAAUUAUUGGGCGUAAAGAGUACGUAGGUGGUCUUUUAAGCGCAGGGUUUAAGGCAAUGGCUUAACUAUUGUUCGCCCUGUGAACUGGGAGACUUGAGUGCAGGAGAGGAAAGCGGAAUUCCUAGUGUAGCGGUGAAAUGCGUAGAUAUUAGGAGGAACACCAGUGGCGAAGGCGGCUUUCUGGACUGUAACUGACACUGAGGUACGAAAGCGUGGGGAGCAAACAGGAUUAGAAACCCUAGUAGUCC